AAACCGGUUUACUUGCAUUGCUAUGAAACCAUGAAUAGAAAUUUAAUUACUUUGAUGAAUAGCCAUCGUAAUGGCUUUUAAAUGGAAGUUUUCAUUAUGAUCGCCACUUAUUUGAUUUUUGUAACUAAUUUCUGUUGGAAUGUAUGUGUAAUCUCAGGCAACUGGAAGACCUUAAGACCAAGCUGAUAGUCAUUCGUAACCCGAUAUAGAAUUUAGAAUAGCUGGAUUUUCUAAUGAAUCACUCGAUAAGUAGAAAUCAACUGAGUGAGAAACUAGAGGAGUAUCUCAGGCUUUCUGAAGGUUUGAUGUGGGUCUGCUAAUGCCAGGUUGACAAUUAUUUACUCAGGUGUGAAUAGCGCUUUCUAGAUCAAGAUAAUGACUGGUAGGUAUUAAACUUGAAUCACUUAAUCUCGAGGAGAUAAAAACAACAAGAGAGUGGAGGGAUGGGGGACGAAAACCAAUCUCGCCAUUUUUGCAUGGAAGAGAGGGCUUUGUAAAAAAUUUAAAAAAAAAUAUGUUAUUUUGUUUUAUAAUACUCAAUUUGACAAAUUAUAAAAAUGA